CUCCCGCGCCUGCACCUGCCACACCUGCUGUGGCGGGCACCUUUCAGGCGUGGUCGGCUCCGGGUCUGCUCGGCGCUCGUCCCCAGGCCUCCGUCGCGCCCACCGGGCUCUCCGCCAUGACUGCGCCCCACGGCCAGCAACCUCAGUGGGAUCAAGCUGCCCUCAUCGCUGCCCUGAACCAGAUGUCGAUGCAAUCAUCCUCAACUCCCGGUGGUGAAUGGAUCAUGGACAGCGGCGCGUCUUCACAUAUGGGAUCCGGUGCUGGACCUAGCUACUGGGAAGGUGCUUCACCGAUGUGACUCGUCUGGCGAUCUGUACCCGUUCGUGCCGUCCCGCCAUUGUCUCCAAGCCACCGUCUCCGCCACGCUCUGGCACCAGCGCCUUGGCCAUCCUGGUGCUCCGGUCCUCCAGAAGGCAUCUCAAUAUUUUCAAUUCACUUGUAAUAAAAGUCAGGCUACUCAUUGUGAGGCUUGUCGACUAGGGAAACACACUAGGCUUUCUUUUCAUCCUUCAUCUACCAUUACUACUGUUCCGUUUGAACUCUGUCAUUGCGAUCUUUGGACCAGCCCUGUACUUAGCAUCUCAGGUUAUCAAUAUUACUUAGUAAUUCUUGAUGAUUUCA